rnacentral:misc_RNA from 1 species
AAGUCGUAACAAGGUUUCCGUAGGUGAACCUGCGGAAGGAUCAUUAACAAAUUUUAAAGUGUGGGAAAAUUAAAAAAUACCACAUUUUUUUGCCAUUGUGAAUAAUCUUUCAUUUUAAGAGGGGAUAAGGUUUUUAUCCUUUUUUGUUUGAAAGAUAAUAAUAGGCCUUAUUUCAUAGUCUAAUUUUUUAAUAAUAAUAAUUUUAAUAAUUUUUGACAAUGGAUCUCUAGGCUCUU